rnacentral:rRNA from 1 species
AUUGAACGCUGGCGGAAUGCUUUACACAUGCAAGUCGAACGGCAGCACGGGGGCAACCCUGGUGGCGAGUGGCGAACGGGUGAGUAAUGUAUCGGAACGUGCCAAGUCGUGGGGGAUAACGUAGUGAAAAUUACGCUAAUACCGCAUACGAACUACGGAUGAAAGCGGGGGAUCGCAAGACCCCGCGCGAUUGGAGCGGCCGAUAUCAGAUUAGGUAGUUGGUGGGGUAAAGGCUCACCAAGCCAACGAUCUGUAGCUGGUCUGAGAGGACGACCAGCCACACUGGAACUGAGACACGGUCCAGACUCCUACGGGAGGCAGCAGUGGGGAAUUUCGGACAAUGGGCGAAAGCCUGAUCCAGCCAUUCCGCGUGCAGGAUGAAGGCCUUCGGGUUGUAAACUGCUUUUGUACGGAGCGAAAGGGCUCUCUCUAAUACAGGGGGCUCAUGACGGUACCGUAAGAAUAAGCACCGGCUAACUACGUGCCAGCCGCCGCAGUAAAAC